UCCUUCUCUUUUCAACACAUUUUUACAAAUGGGUCCUAAGGCUGCUCUUUAUGCCAUAAUCUUUUUCAUUAUCAGGGCAAAUUAAAGAUUGCGGAUUUCGGAUGGUCGGUACACACAUUCAACCGCAGGAGGACCAUGUGCACCACCCUGGAUUACCUUCCACCCGAGAUGGUGGAGAGUGUAGAACAUGAUGCAAGUGUUGAUAUAUGGAGCCUUGGCGUUCUUUGCUACGAGUUUCUUUACGGAGUCCCGCCUUUUGAGGCCAAAGAAUAUUAAGAUACUUAUAGCAAGAACUGGCUUUGAGAUUCAGUAAAUCAAUUCAAGCUCAUGACUUGCAUACAGGUGUGGAUGUUUGUAUUAAAAUUAUAAAGAACAACAAGGAUUUCUUUGAUCAAAGCCUUGAUCAGAUCAAACUCCUUAAGUAUGUCAAUAAGCAUGCUCCUGGAGACAAGCAUCACAUUUUGCGAUUAUAUGAUUACUUCUACUAUAGAGUAAGUUAUUUUGUAUAAGCUACCGAUCUUAUUAAUACUAUUACAUUUUCCUUUCAUUCAAUUGUAGUGCAACACUAGAUACUACCUUUCCUAGGAAAUUAACAUUAAUAUAAUAACAACAUACAUUGGACUUUUCCACUCACCAUUCCUUUAUGUUGUCGUACUACAAACAAAUCUAUUUGUCCAUGUUGAUGGUGUGCACAUAAUUAGUCAAAAAUCACGAGGCCUCUUCUGCGACA